rnacentral:rRNA from 1 species
GACGAACGCUGGCGGCGUGCCUAAUACAUGCAAGUAGAACGCUGAAGAGAGGAGCUUGCUCUUCUUGGAUGAGUUGCGAACGGGUGAGUAACGCGUAGGUAACCUGCCUUGUAGCGGGGGAUAACUAUUGGAAACGAUAGCUAAUACCGCAUAACAAUGGAUGACACAUGUCAUUUAUUUGAAAGGGGCAAUUGCUCCACUACAAGAUGGACCUGCGUUGUAUUAGCUAGUAGGUGAGGUAACGGCUCACCUAGGCGACGAUACAUAGCCGACCUGAGAGGGUGAUCGGCCACACUGGGACUGAGACACGGCCCAGACUCCUACGGGAGGCAGCAGUAGGGAAUCUUCGGCAAUGGGGGCAACCCUGACCGAGCAACGCCGCGUGAGUGAAGAAGGUUUUCGGAUCGUAAAGCUCUGUUGUAAGUCAAGAACGAGUGUGAGAGUGGAAAGUUCACACUGUGACGGUAGCUUACCAGAAAGGGACGGCUAACUACGUGCCAGCAGCCGCGGUAAUACGUAGGUCCCGAGCGUUGUCCGGAUUUAUUGGGCGUAAAGCGAGCGCAGGCGGUUUGAUAAGUCUGAAGUUAAAGGCUGUGGCUCAACCAUAGUUCGCUUUGGAAACUGUCAAACUUGAGUGCAGAACGGGAGAGUGGAAUUCCAUGUGUAGCGGUGAAAUGCGUAGAUAUAUGGAGGAACACCGGUGGGCGAAAGCGGCUCUCUGGUCUGUAACUGACGCUGAGGCUCGAAAGCGUGGGGAGCGAACAGG